CCACCCACCAUACCAGGCUAUGCUACGAGUCUUUAUUAGACGUUCUCAGGCCCACUGGCAGAGACUGGACCCUGCCGAUCUCAAGGCUAGGGAACAGCCGAGACCAGUGAACUGAAGCACAUUGGGCUUCACUCUAAGUCAGCUCUGAUCUACAACAUCUUUUUGGCAACAUUGAGUUAAUUUUGGACAUACGGGCCUGAAACAGGCCUUAGAAUUUGAGCAUCUACAUCCAGAACAGUGACCUGGGAAAGGAGAUUGAAACGUUGUCGUUAAUCAACAGGCUUCGCUGCAUCUAUCUUGUUUUCUCAUUUAACACAGAGAAAACACAGGGAAUCUCAUUGAGCCCCUAAGUCAUUAAAAUAUAAAAGCUGGAAAUGCUAAGGCUGAGCCAAGGGUCUGAAUGAGAGAAGUCAAAAUUGUUAUUAAUUGCUUCUAAUAAUUAUAUCGGUUUCCAAGGCUACUUAAAACCCAAGCCUUCUGCAUGGGUACCUCCAACAGUUUUAGCAAGGCCAAGAAACCUGCACUCACCCUGCAUGGACCAAAAUAGUCUGGGUGCCAAUUAAAGGAGCAAUUGUCCCGAGUUUUUCCACACAGAGUGUGGUGAAUCUGUGGAAUUCUCUGCCACAGAAGGGGGUGGAGGCGGCAUCUCUGGA